AUACGGAGGGGGCUAGCGUUGUUCGGAAUUACUGGGCGUAAAGCGCGCGUAGGCGGGUUGGUCAGUCAGGGGUGAAAUCCCGGGGCUCAACCCCGGAACUGCCUUUGAUACUGCCAGUCUAGAGGUCGAGAGAGGUGAGUGGAAUUCCGAGUGUAGAGGUGAAAUUCGUAGAUAUUCGGAGGAACACCAGUGGCGAAGGCGGCUCACUGGCUCGAUUCUGACGCUGAGGUGCGAAAGCGUGGGGAGCAAACAGGAUUAGAUACCCUAGUAGUCC
rnacentral:rRNA from 1 species